UGAGGAAUAUUGGUCAAUGGGCGGGAGCCUGAACCAGCCAAGUCGCGUGAAGGAAGAAGGAUCUAUGGUUCGUAAACUUCUUUUGCAGGGGAAUAAAGUGCAGGACGUGUCCUGUUUUGUAUGUACCCUGAGAAUAAGGAUCGGCUAACUCCGUGCCAGCAGCCGCGGUAAUACGGAGGAUCCGAGCGUUAUCCGGAUUUAUUGGGUUUAAAGGGUGCGUAGGUGGUUUGAUAAGUCAGCGGUGAAAGUUUGCAGCUUAACUGUAAAAAUGCCGUUGAAACUGUCGGGCUUGAGUGUAAAUGAGGUAGGCGGAAUGCGUGGUGUAGCGGUGAAAUGCAUAGAUAUCACGCAGAACUCCGAUUGCGAAGGCAGCUUACUAAGCUACAACUGACACUGAAGCACGAAAGCGUGGGGAUCAAACA
rnacentral:rRNA from 1 species